rnacentral:rRNA from 1 species
CCUACGGGAGGCAGCAGUGAGGAAUAUUGGUCAAUGGCCGGAAGGCUGAACCAGCCAAGCCGCGUGAAGGACGAAGGUGCCACGCAUUGUAAACUUCUUUUGUCAAGGGAUAAAAUCAGGCUCGAGAGCCUGACUGUAGGUACUUGCUGAAAAAGCAUCGGCUAACUCCGUGCCAGCAGCCGCGGUAAUACGGAGGAUCCGAGCGUUAUCCGGAUUUUUUGGGUUUAAAGGGUGCGUAGGUGGGAUGUUAAGUCAGGUGUAAAAGCUUGCGGCUCAACCGCGGGAGUGCCAUUGAUACUGGCUGCCUUGAGAUGAGUUGAGGUAGGCGGAAUGCGCGGUGUAGCGGUGAAAUGCUUAGAUAUCACGCAGAACUCCGAUUGCGAAGGCAGCAUAC